rnacentral:rRNA from 1 species
ACGCUCGACACCUACGAGAGGCAGCAGUCGGGAAUAUUGCGCAAUGGAGGAAACUCUGACGCAGUGACGCCGCGUGCAGGAAGAAGGUUUUCGGAUUGUAAACUGCUUUAGACAGGGAAGAAAAAAGACAGUACCUGUAGAAUAAGCUCCGGCUAACUACGUGCCAGCAGCCAACGGUAAUCUGAGGCGGCUGGACGAAGGC